GGCAGACAAUACCAUUCCUCAUGUAUUCCUCAUGCUGCAGUCACUCCCCGCGAUGCGUUAUUAGGGGUUCGGCUCUUCUUAUCUCUCACACAAUCUGGCACGCACAAGAGACGGGCGAAGGUGAGACACGAGCAGGCGGAAGGAUUCCCUGUAAUCGGUCCCCUCACAGAAGAAUGGUCCCUGGCAUGCAGUUUACUAAAGCGCAUCAUAAUAUCACGGGAAAACAAGGCGGACUACAGGAGUCACUCUCUCCACGAGCGCACCCUCUCCUCACAACAACCUCAUGUGUUUUCUACAGCGGAAGUCAAGAGACAACACUUAAGAAAAUCUGUCCUCAAACAAUCAAGUGAUGCUCAAAUGAAAAGAACGAAAGAACGACAACAGAAACACCUGUCGUCCGCUUAUAGUUAAUGGACACGUAAAAUCGUUUUGAAUAGACUAACAUCUAAUUUGAAGUUGGCAUCACCUAUAAUAAAAUAAAUGUUGAUGAGAAGGGUUGGAGAUGUGUGACCGUGAGUGACACCAACGAGAGUUGUUACAGUGGAAAUAACUCCUCAGGGGUGUACCCUUCUUGGAUAAAGUUGGGCAAAUUUAAAUUGGGGUUGAACCUUGGAUCUGAAAACAGACCACAAAACAGACGGCCUGAAGAUGAUGCUGAGUCCUGACCAGCCAGACGUUGACCUGCCCUGGGGGCAGCCCGAUACAGAGACCCUGCUGAACAGCAUCAAGAUGGAGUGCGCACCCCUGCCCGCGGAGCCCGCAGAGGGCGAAGGCAAGGCGCGCUCUCUGUCCAUUCCUUCCCUCAGCAGGGAGGAGAAGAGGAGGCGGAGGCGCGCUACAGCCAAGUACCGUUCCGCGCACGCAACAAGAGAGCGCAUCCGCGUCGAAGCUUUCAACGUUGGGUUCGCCGAGCUGAGGAAGCUUCUCCCGACACUUCCGCCAGACAAGAAGCUGUCCAAGAUUGAGAUCCUCCGGCUCGCAAUCUGCUACAUCACCUACCUCAACCAUGUGCUGGAUGCGUAGGUCAUCAGUCAAGGAUGGACACCGUCAGUGAAGGAGAGAAGAAGACAGAAGAUGGAGACUGGAUUGGAGAGGCGAGGUCUGUGCCAGUGUCUGAGCUGGGGAUUCGCUCUGCAGCGGGAGGACAGACGCUCUCCCCACGGAAGGGGCAGGUGUUCCUGCAGACGAGCAGAGACAACCGCAUUACAGCCCAUCCGUCUGCCAAAUCCCCCGGGACGGGCGCGAGCGCACACACACACACACACACAGACAUUUAGGGAGAGGUGACAUGGGAAUCAUGGACAAACGGAAAAAGCAUCAUAUUGGCUGGACAAAGAGAGCUUAUUCGAUGGAUAAAUAAUAAGGACAAUAAUUGUAGGCUGUAAGCCUAAUAUUAUUUGGAUAGCCCAUUGAUAAAUAAUGCAACAUAAAGCAGCCCAGCAAAUGCUACAUGAAAAACAUUAAAUAUUUAUAAACAAACAAGAUUUUCUACAUGGAAAUUCAUGUCAGUUUUGUGAAUACAGAAGAAGCAUGUUGUGGGUCUAAUUCGUCAAAACAAAACCUAUUGAAACAAACUAGGCUAAUACUUUGUUCAAGGUAAUUAUUUACAACGAAAUAAUCUAUAAAAAUAUACCUCAAGUAAAUUCGGAUAGCUAAAAGCUUGCAUCAACUAAAGCCACAAAGCAAAAUUAUAAGAAGGAGAAAAUGAAGGAAAUGUCACAUAGGGGAAAGUGGGGUAAGUCGUGCCAAAAGGUUAGUUGAGCCGUUACAAAGGUUAUACAUCAAUUGGAGUCUCUAUAAGCUACAAUAUGAGGUCCUAAACCUAGCACGAAAGUGCAGCCUUGUAGCUGUGUGGGCUAAUAUAGUCAAAAUGGUGGCUUUGGUGUAAAUUGUUCCAUUUGGCCAGGUGCAAGUUGAGGAAAUGGUUAAUCAAUAUACCCCAUGAUGAUGACACUUUGUCAGUUUUAUGCACAGUACUUUGAAGACACCUCACAUUUGUGUGCUUAGUCAAGUUCAAAUGAUGACAAAUGCCUCCCUGGGUCUCCUGAGUGGCACAGCGGUCUAAGGCACUCCAACGCAGUGCUAGAGGCUUCACUACAGACCCAGGUUUGACCCCAGGCUGUACUCCAACCGACUGUGAUCUGGAGUCCCAUAGGGCGGCACACAAUUGGCCCAGCGUUGUCCGGUUUAGGGGAGGGUUUGGUUGAGGGGAUUUACUUGGGUCAUCGCACUCUAGCGACUCCAUGUGGCGGGACGGGCGCAUGCAGGCUGGCCUUGUCAUCAGUUGAACAGUGUUUCCUCCGACACAUUGGUGCGGCUGGCUUUCGGGUUAAGCCGGUGGGUGUUAAGAAGCGCAGUUUGGCGGGUCAUGUUUUGGAGGAUGCAUGACUCGACCUUCACCUCCCAAGCCCGUUGAGGAGUUGCAGCGAUGAGACAAGAUGGAAAUUGGGGAGAAAAGGGGGUACAAAAAAUGUAAAUGCCUUCCUCAGUUGGGUUUGCCUCCCUCUAGGACACAAUUGAAAUAUUUUCUUCCCAACAUGUUAGAAAUGUGUCCCUAUAUGCUUACCCUGUCCCUAUGGUCAUCUACCUUAAACCUGGGGUAAAUU